UGAAUAUGGAUUUUUCGCUCUUUUCAGUGCUAUUGUGGCAUUUACAAUUCUUUUAUCCCUUUAUUGUUGUUUAAUUAACAAGAUACACUGACUCUUGCCUCUUUGGUUCUAGUGGGUUAUAAUGAUAAAGUAACGUAGAAGAAAGAGAGAGACAAGAAAUAGGGUUCCAAAAUUCGUUGGAAGGGGAAAGGGGUUCUUUAAACCUUGUUUUGAUUGACUGCUAAUUAACCGAAUAGCUGUGGUGAUUGAAGGCGAACACAGUGGUCCUGAAGCCCUUUCUAGGUUCUUCAAAGCUUUACGGCAGUGUCCCAAAAUAGAGAGAGGAUCACAGCCGAACGAUGCACUCAAAAUAGAGAGAGGAUCAAAAUCAAUUGCUGUGAAAGGCAAACGGUGCACUCAUAUCUUCGGUGGCAAGACUAGUUCGACGUGGGCUCUUACUGGAGAAUCACUUCCUAUCACCAAGAGGAUAGGUGAUGAAGUCUUUUCUGGUUCAACAUGUAAGCAAGGUGAGAUUGAAGCUGUAGUGAUAGCAACUGGAGUUCACUCUUUCUUUGGAAAAGCUGCACAUCUAGUUGAUUCCACUGAAAGUAUUGGUCAUUUCCAGAAGGUUCUUACUGCCAUUGGGAAUUUCUGCAUUUGUUUUUAUAGUUGUGGG